UACGGAGGGCGCAAGCGUUGUUCGGAAUCAUUGGGCGUAAAGCGCGUGUAGGCGGCUUGGCAAGUCGGGUGUGAAAUCCCGGGGCUCAACCCCGGAACUGCAUUCGAAACUGCCUCGCUAGAGUCCCGGAGAGGAGGGCGGAAUUCCCGGUGUAGAGGUGAAAUUCGUAGAUAUCGGGAGGAACACCAGUGGCGAAGGCGGCCCUCUGGACGGUGACUGACGCUGAGAUGCGAAAGCGUGGGGAGCAAACAGG
rnacentral:rRNA from 1 species